rnacentral:lncRNA from 1 species
CCUGCUCUGCAGUGGGAAGGGAGAGAUGUCCUCUGACCAGGUCAACUCUGGGCCUUUGGAGACCCCCCUCCGGCCCCAGUCACUGGCGCCACACCUGCAUUUCCUUUGGUGUUUUGGGCCAAACAGGCCGCUCCAAGAAGAUAGGCCACACCUUUUCUGGACUGGCACUGCGGAAGGAGCUCCAAGUCACAUGUAGAAGAAUGAAGCUGGAUCCUUACCUCUCACCUCAUACAAAUAUCAACUCAAGAUGAAUCAAAGACUUAAAUCUAGAACCUGAAACCACACAAAUUCUAGAAGAUAACAUCAGAAAAACUCUUCUAGACAUUGGCUUACACAAAGAGUUUAUUAUCAAGAACCCAAAAGCAAAUGAAAUGAAAACAAACAUAAAUGGAUGGGACUUAAUUAAGCUAAAAAGCUUCUGCACAGCAAAACAAACACUCAGCAGAAUAAACAGACAACCUAAAGAAUGGAAGAAAAUAUUCACAAACCAUGCACCUAACAAAGAACUAAUAUCCAGAAUCUACAAGGAACUGAAACAAAUCAGCAAAAUAAUAAUGAUAAUAAUAAUAAUAAUCCCAUCAAAGAAACUCAAAUAAAUCAGCAAGAAAAACAACAACAGCAAAUAAUCUUAUCAAAAAGUGUGCAAAAGACGUGAAUGGACAAUUCUCAAAAG